CGGGCUGUAGUAUAAUGGUAGUAUACGAGCAUGGGGUGUUUGCGGCCCGGGUUCGAUUCCCGGCAGCCCGA
rnacentral:tRNA from 3 species